rnacentral:tRNA from 1 species
GAGAGAGGCCAGUUAGGCACCAAGAACUGCUAAUUCCUGAAUCCCAGGUUAAAUCCCUAGGCUCACUCG